GUCACACUGUUGGCGGUCGACUGGUCGGGGCCCGUCCAUCCGUCGCGUUCGGCGUCCCAUUCCAUUGCCCGGAGGGUCCGCGGUUCCCGCCCGCCUCCUCGCGCGCGCCGUAGCGCAGGGCACAGUGUAAAAGGCUACGGAGUCGCGGAGCGCGAGCGGCGGAGUGGAGGGGGAUGAGGACGACUACGCACGAGACGUGCCCUGUGCGCUGGACGGACGAGCGGC
rnacentral:lncRNA from 1 species